GACGAACGCUGGCGGCGUGCCUAAUACAUGCAAGUAGAACGCUGAAGGAGGAGCUUGCUUCUCUGGAUGAGUUGCGAACGGGUGAGUAACGCGUAGGUAACCUGCCUGGUAGCGGGGGAUAACUAUUGGAAACGAUAGCUAAUACCGCAUAAGAGUAGAUGUUGCAUGACAUUUGCUUAAAAGGUGCAAUUGCAUCACUACCAGAUGGACCUGCGUUGUAUUAGCUAGUUGGUGGGGUAACGGCUCACCAAGGCGACGAUACAUAGCCGACCUGAGAGGGUGAUCGGCCACACUGGGAAUGAGACACGGCCCAGACUCCUACGGGAGGCAGCAGUAGGGAAUCUUCGGCAAUGGACGGAAGUCUGAACGAGCAAAGCCGCGUGAGGGAAGAAGGUUUUCGGAUCGUAAAGCUCUGUUGUAAGAGAAGAACGAGUGUGAGAGUGGAAAGUUCACACUGUGACGGUAUCUUACCAGAAAGGGACGGCUAACUACGUG
rnacentral:rRNA from 1 species